AUGCUGAGCUCUGCAGGGGCACAGGGUGUCCUGCCCCUGCCCCCGUCCCUGCCCGCUCGGCGCCCGCCCGGCCGCCAGGGCCGCUCAUGUGACGGCCGGGGCCGCGGUGGCAGCGGAGCGGCGUCCCAUGGCGAGGGGAAGGUGAACAGCUGCCGGGCAGUGAUAAUGCGGCGGGUGGGGGCGGCCGGGCAGCUGCGCCCGUGUCCUUCCCCAACAGGAACCAUCUGUGACCAAGCCCAGCUCUGCCUUCCCUAUCAGCCAUUCCGCUCUGACUUUCCAACAACUUCCCCUUCGCGCCGGCCUCACUUCCUCACGGCAGGGCUGGCACGGCACGGCACGGCACGGCACGGCACGGCUGUGCUGGCACACCUUGGCACAGGGCACAACCAGCAUGGCAAGGCGUGGUGUGGCUGUGCAUUCUCAUCCUCACGGAAGGGCUGGCACGGCACGGCACGGCACGGCACGGCACGGCUGUGCUGGCAUACCUUGGCACAGGGCACAACCAGCAUGGCAAGGCGUGGUGUGGCUGUGCAUUCUCAGCCUGGCACAAACUCAGGGCUCGCCCCCCCCCUGCCCUGGAUCAUCCACGGGAUGAGGUUUUCCCCACAGCUGAUCUGCAGCUGCAGCAUCGCCCCGACCUCCUCAGCACUUGGGGUGACCCCUCUGUGCACCCCAUCCCUGCACCCCCCAGCCAGGCCCCUCAGCAUCAGCGUUUGGGCUCCCCAGGAGCUGUCAGCCAGAGAGAAACAACUUGUUAGAAACCCGAAAGGCGGCUCUGGGCUGCAGGUGGGAGGGAGGAAACGUGUCCUAAAAAUACAGCAGCGCCUGCACGGUCCCCGAAGGUGGCUGAGCAGAUGGCGUGUCUCGGCGGCCACCUGGGCUCCUGCAGAUGGUACCCGGGGCUCCCCGCUUUGUGCCCCCCGCCCAGGGCUCGGGGGGGCCAGCGAGGGACGGGUGGAAGAGGGGAGGAAGGUACCUGAGUAUGGGGAUGGGGGGUGCUGUGCUGCGGGGGCAGAGUGGGGUGUCGCCAGCAAGGUCUCUGCCCUCUGUGUGCACCCCCGAGCCCCAGGGGACAUCGAGCGCGGUCUGGGUGCUGCAGGGAGAGGAGGGGAAGCCCCAGCACGGGGCUGA
rnacentral:lncRNA from 1 species